rnacentral:rRNA from 1 species
UACGGGGGGUGCGAGCGUUGUCCGGAAUCACUGGGCGUAAAGGGCGCGUAGGUGGCGCGGGCAGUCAACGGUGAAAGUUCGGGGCUCAACCCUGAAUCGGCCGUCGAUACUCCCGAGCUCGAGCACUGUAGAGGCAGAUGGAAUUCCGGGUGUAGCGGUGGAAUGCGUAGAGAUCCGGAAGAACACCGGUGGCGAAGGCGGUCUGCUGGGCAGUAGCUGACACUGAGGCGCGACAGCGUGGGGAGCAAACAGG